CGUUUUGUUGUCGCUCGAGUAGCACGUCGAGGGUCUCGCGGUCGGUGUCCGGUGAUGGUGUACCAGUGAACGUGGUCGACCACGUCUCAGAAUGCACGCGCUAUUUGGAGAGCAGAACCCGUACGCUUACCGCGGCGGCAGCGGCGGCGGCUACUCCGGCGGAGUGGCGCCUUACAGCUACGAGCAGUACCGCUACGGGUACGGAGCUCCCUACCUGCACCCGCACCAGCAGCACGGCGCGCCCAAGGACAUGGUGAAGCCGCCCUACUCGUACAUCGCGCUCAUCGCCAUGGCUAUCCAGAACGCGCCCGACCGCCGCAUCACGCUCAACGGCAUCUACCAGUUCAUCAUGGAGCGCUUCCCUUACUACCGCGAGAACAAGCAAGGGUGGCAGAACUCGAUCCGACACAACCUUAGCUUGAACGAGUGCUUCGUCAAAGUCGCAAGAGAUGACAAGAAGCCCGGUAAGGGCAGUUAUUGGACUCUGGACCCGGAUUCGUACAAUAUGUUCGACAACGGUUCCUACUUACGGCGGCGACGUCGGUUCAAAAAGAAAGACGCGCUCAAGGAGAAAGAGGAAGCUUUAAAGAGACAGCAACAGCUGCAGCAGGCGCACGAGGUGCUGGCGGCGCAGGAGGCGCUCGGGAGCGCGGAUGCGCUGGGCCAGUCGCGCGACGUGAAGCCGGACGUGAAGCCGAGGAUAUUCGAGUGUCGGCCGAAGAGGGAGCCCGGGGCCGAGUGCGCGCGCUUCGAGCGGCCGGGAGACUCCCUGGAAGAGUUCGGCGAGGCGCGGUUGGCGCCGGGCGCGGGCGCCGUGUACUGCUCGCCGCAGCCCUACGAGGAGUUCCGCGCGGCGGCGGGCGGCUGGUACGCCGCCGAGGGCCCCGCCGACCACCUGCCGCCCUCGUUCCGCGACCUGUUCGAGGCGCCCAGCUGCCAGCUGGCCGGCCUGCCCGCGCACCACCACUACCGCGCGGCCGGGCCCUACUACCACCAGCAGGCCUGCAUCGCCGCCGCGCCAUCGGCCCCGCACAAGUCCUACUGAGCCCGCUCCCCCAGGAGGGUCGCACCCGGCGCCACCUGACCGUGUCCGCGCCGCUGUCGCCGCCGCCGUCACCGGAGCGGGAGGAUGGGUCCUCCCGCCUCCAAUAUAUCCGUAAGAGGCGGCGACCACUGCGGGAGCCCUGCCACUGCAAGCACUGCGGGUGAACAACUGAACAGUGAACAGUGAACUGUCACAAGUACAGUAGACCGCAGACAUAGAGGCAGCACGGCGCUGAGUGAAUGUUCUGUGACCAUCGACUAGCUUCAUUAGAGUUUCAGAAAGGUAGUUUUAGUGCCAGAAGACUUAAUAAUAUUAUGUAUAUUUGUUGAAUGGUGAGUUUAUGUAUAGAUGUAAGUGUUGUGUGAGCGUUAAAUGUUAACUUGUCAAGUUUCACGUCCGCGUCGACGUGAAGCUUGGCUGGUAGUGCGUGUAGCGAUUGUAUUAUUACAUGAUUGUAUAUAAGAGUACCUAUUAAAUAUGUGUGUACCAAUAACUAUGUCACUAACGGCCACUUUCAAUUUUCGAUCCUUUGUUCAAGAUUAUUUUAAUCCAAAUAUAUACUCAUCAUUUUUUCAUAACACGCCUGAAAAAGUAUAACUUCAAAAAUGAUUUGAUAAUAGAUCACCAUAACAAAUUCACAGACUGGUUAUUAAGUUGGUAAGUGUAAAAAAUGGGUUUAUAGAUCAAUCUCAGAUCGCAAAUUAUAGAAAGCGGCCGUUCAUAGAACUAUUGACGCUACGGCUAUACUUCCUACUGUAAUAUGGCAACAGCUAUGGCACUAAGUAAAGUAUUAUUUAGUAAUAUUAGUAAGCCACGGCAAUUAUUUACAGUAAUGUUUAAACAUGAUAUACGGCUGUAUGGUCCGGCGGCGCUCUUUGUUCGUACAUCAUUACCUAGACGUAACCUCAUCACUUCCCGACAAACCGUUCACCGUACUUAUUGCCAAAGCUAUUGGUGUUACACAGCUGUAGACGGUGAGGUGAUGUGGCUGCAACGUUAAAGUUCAAACAAUGUGACUUUAAUGCAUUUUUCUAGUCUUUUUCGUUUGUGUACGUUCUUAUGUUUAAAUAUAAGUAUUGUAUAAUAUUUCGUAGAUUGGAAUAACUCUUAUAUUACUGAUCAUUUAGUCCAGAGAAAAUAACAACAAUCUUAUUCAAAUAAUCAGAUGAUAAUAUAAUAUCAUAGUAUUUAUCAUACGACGUUAUUAAAAUAAAAUCAUCUACAAAGAUUGUUAAUUGGUGACAGUCGGUGACUAUUUUAUUAUAGGCAUUUAAUUAAAUGAAAAACUACAUGAGUUUAAAGCUUUAGUGUUCCUGUAUUAGUAGCGAUUGUAACAACAUGAAUCUUUGGGAUUUUAAUAUUAUCCAAUGCUAUUCUGAUUAUAGGCAUUUUACACAAAUUUUUAGUCGUAUGUAAAAUUUUGUAUAUUUAUAUUUAAGAAGAAACUUGGCUAUAUUUAUUGAUAUUCAAUCUGUUAUAUUACGAAGCCAAUAUAAAAGUAAUCUUUAUAAAGUAGUACUUUAUAUAAAAAUACGUCAGUAAAGGUAUCCACAUACUUGAGUAGGUAGAGUUAGGCCUAGGAUAACUACAGAUAUUAAUCACAAUUUCAUCAUUUAUUUAAACAUUGAACAUAAUUAUGAUGUAAUUCUCACACACUCAAUCAAUUUUGAAAGUUUCAAAAGUUAAACAACCUUAAUACUACUUAUAUUCUUUGAUAGCUCCAUUUUUGAAGUACCUACAAAGUGAAAAAGUGAUUCUAGAAGAAAGCCUCGAGUAAUUGGCUUAUUAUAAUUAUAUAAAAUAUGCGUUGACGAUGGUGCUUUCAUGCGUGAGCGAGAGGGAGAUUAAUAGGUCACUGACCGAAAUUAUUUCUACAUCGCGACGGCCUUUCAUUUGAAUUUCAAAUCAACUUUUCUAAAGUUUGGUGGUUCGUUUCGGCCCUUAGAGUCCAUCCCGAUACUAGAUCAGGUGAGUUAAAGCUGCAGGUCCGCGAAGCCAUUCCCAUCAACACCAGUUUCCUUGUGACUUUAUUUUCACUCUUUGGUUAUUGUAUUUAGUUCCAUAAAAUCACGGCAUUACAUUUAUAUAAUAUUUAGAAAGUUGUCGCUUAGUACAAAAUAAGGCUAUAUUUAUAAUAAAUGUAUGUACAACUAUUACUUCUACAAUAGAUGUAUGUAUAAUUAUUUAAUUAAUGACUUUGUGAUAAUUAUGUUAA